rnacentral:rRNA from 1 species
AGAGUUUGAUCCUGGCUCAGAACGAACGCUGGCGGCAUGCCUAACACAUGCAAGUCGAACGAGACCUUCGGGUCUAGUGGCGCACGGGUGCGUAACGCGUGGGAAUCUGCCCUGGGGUGCGGAAUAACUCGGAGAAAUCCGUGCUAAUACCGCAUAAUGUCUUCGGACCAAAGAUUUAUCGCCCUGGGAUGAGCCCGCGUAGGAUUAGCUAGUUGGUGGGGUAAAGGCCUACCAAGGCGACGAUCCUUAGCUGGUCUGAGAGGAUGAUCAGCCACACUGGGACUGAGACACGGCCCAGACUCCUACGGGAGGCAGCAGUGGGGAAUAUUGGACAAUGGGCGAAAGCCUGAUCCAGCAAUGCCGCGUGAGUGAUGAAGGCCCUAGGGUUGUAAAGCUCUUUUACCCGGGAUGAUAAUGACAGUACCGGGAGAAUAAGCUCCGGCUAACUCCGUG